rnacentral:lncRNA from 1 species
GAAGAAAUCCCCCAAAUUAUCGCGAUCAACGAAAAACGUCAAUUCCCGUCGGCCCUUGUUUCAAGUGAAGGGAAGUAAAAUGUCGGCGAUGGAUGGGAUGGGCCUCUUAUUGUGCUUUUAACAAUAUCUCAACCUUUAAUACUGUAUUUUAAAUGUACAUUUCACGUUUUAGAAAAUAAAGGUUAGUUGAAGAUUGUGGAUUUAAACGGACAAAACAUAUAACUGGAUCUAAGACAAAGACUCCAGCGAAGAGGAAACAGAGAAGGAUGAAGAAAGGAGUAGGGCGAGGUUGAGGUGUUACCAAGGUGAUAGGGAGAACCCAGAUGACGAGCCUAGCGAACUGGGAGCUGGCCUUACUGCAACCCCCGAAACACUUUCCUGCCUGGUCUCUCUUCACUGCUCUCCACAGCAUCUCCUCGACAGUUCUGACCUUGAAGUGGAGUUGACAGCUGAGGUGUGAGUGGAACGCUCGUCACUGCUCAGUAUCCUGUCCACUGUCACCCCUGGUGUAGGCAGCAGGAAGACGGGGUUGCUCUUUGAUCCCCGGCCCUCAGUAUCCCUCCUCCACCCACAACCCCAGGCUCCAGGGAGUUCUGGACUACAGCUUACCCCAGGCCCAGCUCCCAUCCUGGCCAUGGACUUAACUCAAAUCCCAGGCCUUAAAGGGAUGCCUGCUGUCCCUCCUCCUCACGGGAUCACAGAGACUGCCAAGAGCCCCCUGCCCUCCUCCACAUCUUCCUCCUCUCCCGCCUCCCCACCUUCCUCUUCAUCCUCCUCUCCUGGUGCCGUGGCAACCAGCUACCACAACGAUAUCCAGGAGGGAAGGGCCAACAGCAUGAUGAUGGGUGACGUGGUGUCCUCCACUUCCGCCUCCCUGGCUCCCCCCUCCUCUCACUCUGACCCCUCUUUCUCCUCCUCAGAUCCCUUGUUAUGCCUCUCACCCCUUGUGGGCACCGACGGACAAAAAGAGCUUGAGACGGAGAUCUACGACCCAUUUCACCCCACGGAAGGAGAGAGGGAGGAAGGAGCGCCGGAGGAGGAAGGGGAAAAGUACGACCCCUUUGAUCCGACCGGCUCUCCCCCCUCAGAGAGAGAGGAAGAGGAGCGAGAGACGGGGGGAGGGAGGGAGAGAGGGGAUAGCGUGAGCAGCAAGGAGAGCGAUGCCAGAGGGAAGAGAAGGAAGGCAGAGACUGGGAGGACAGGAGGAGAGGAGAAAGACAAUGCUCCUCCAGACUCCACGGACGCUCUCUCUGUUCCCCCGCUCUCACCGCGCUCCCUCCCUCUCCCCCUUCGGAGGAGGCUGGACCGAACCAAAGAGCCCCGGGUGAAAGUACGGGACAGGAGAGAGAAGGCGAACCACUCGGACCACUCUGAGAUUGAGGAGGGUGAGAUCGUUGGGGCCACCGAGAGGGACGGAGGAAAGAGGGAGGAGAGAGGCCGGGAAGGAGUCCUUCCUCUCGUCCUCCCCAUCUCCUCUGGCAGUCCUUUCCUCCACAGGGGAGCCAAGCCGGAGAGGAUCCUGAGGGUGUUGGACGGGGAUAGCUUUGUGUCGGUGCGGGCUGAGGGGGACUGGGCGGGGCCGGUGAUGCCUGGCAGGGAGGAUGGGGAGCCCAUGGAGGAGGAGGAGGAGGAAGAAGAAGAGGAGGAGGAGGUGGUGGUGGUCGGGGUGGGAGAUCUGAGGAGGAAGCUGGUCAGCCGGCGUAAGGCGAGAUACCGCUCCUCCUUCCCCUCUUCUCUCUCGCCUCAGCACCUCCCACCGUCUCCUCACACCGUCCCUUUGCCCCCCUCCCCGCUCACUGCCGAGAAGGACAAGAGCCGCAAGUCAUCCAAGAGCUCCAAGGAGAGGGAGCGGCGUAAGCGAAAGGAGUGCAAGGUAGGGGAGGAGGAGGAGAGGAGGAGGAGGAAGAAAAGGAAAGAAAAGGAUGGUGGUGGAGAGAAUGGUGGUGAGAGGAAGGAAAGACACAGGGAGAGGGGGCGGCGGAGUGAGAAAGAGAAGAAAACAAAGGUGGAGGAGGAGAGAGGGAGGAGCAGCAGAAGUGACAGCAGAAAGAGGAAGAAGAGACGACGGCGUACCCCGGAAUCUUCAGCACGCCCCCGCUCACAAAACACCUCAGUGCAGCAGGCCCACGGAGGCCGCUCCUGGUCAAACAAUUCAGAGGACCGACACAGAGAGAGAGACAGAGACAGAGAGAAUAACAGAGACCGGUACAGAGACAGAGAUGGGGAACGAGACGGCGAUCGAGACAAGGACAGAAAGAAAGACGACACCCGGAGAAGGGAGAGGGAUGGAGACUCUAGCCGGAUAAAGAGGGAAAGAGAGCAAGACGGCGUCCGCAAAUCAACCAGCCGAGAAAGAGGCAGCUCCAAGAGGUCCAAAGGAAGCAUAGAACCAAGGCACCGGGAAAGGGACAGGCACCAGGACAGAGAAAGGCACAGAGAAAGGCACAGAGAAAGGGACAGGGAGAGACGUCGAGAUGGUCGACCCGUGGUGCCGCCAUCCAUCCAGGAUCUCAAUGGCUCUGACCUGUUCGCCAUCAAGCGCACCAUCACGGUCACCACGACCACCACCACCACUCUCCCCGGUUCCCCCCCGCUGGCUCCAUCCUCCCCCCGCAGCCCCUCCCAGGGCUCCGAAAAGCCCCACAAGAGGAAGAAGAAGAGCCGUCGGCGCUCGGACGAAAAGUUAGAAGACAGCAUUGGCCGGCGUGGGAGCCUCUCCCUUUCGCCACCGUCACAUUACCAUGGCUACGACUCGGACCACUUCUCAGACAAACUGGAGAUAGACAUGCACUCUCUGGACGGGGAGGCUCUGGAUUCAGACUACCCCUCUAUAGAAGACUCCCCUCCCCAGCUUCUGGAACCCGCUGCCCUCAGCGCCAAACCCAAGACCGCUACCAAACCUGGACGCCACCACUUCAAGAAGAAAUCACGAACGGGCAAGAAAGCUGGUCAGUCCAAGUCGUCCUCUUCCUCCUCGGUUCGACCCAAAGGCAAGGGGCUCUCCACACCUUCACUCUCCCCAACCCAGGCCACCCCCGGCCUGGCCUCCACCCCAACCACCCUCCCCUCGGCCAAACAAGGGCGGAAGAUGGGGAAGGAGAAAGAGCGUGGGGAAAAAGGAGGAAAGAAAGAGUCUGGUCGGUCUGGCAGGUCCAAGAAAUUAAGUGGGGGUGGGAGGAAAGCCAAGCUGCAGUCCAAAGUGUCAGUGCUGGUGCGCGAGGGCGUGAGCAGCACCACGGGGGGCUCGGUGGGCUCGGGGAAGCUGGGCAUGGAGCUCCUCGGGG